UGCCAGACUCCUACGGGAGGCAGCAGUGAGGAAUAUUGGUCAAUGGACGCAAGUCUGAACCAGCCAUGCCGCGUGCAGGAAGAAGGUGCUAUGCAUUGUAAACUGCUUUUAUACGGGGGUAAUUACAGAUACGUGUAUCUGGAUGAAAGUACCGUAUGAAUAAGGAUCGGCUAACUCCGUGCCAGCAGCCGCGGUAAUACGGAGGAUCCGAGCGUUAUCCGGAUUUAUUGGGUUUAAAGGGUGCGUAGGCGGUCAGGUAAGUUAGAGGUGAAAGCUCGAUGCUCAACAUCGAAACUGCCUCUGAUACUGUCUGACUAGAGUGUAGUUGCGGAAGGCGGAAUGUGUGGUGUAGCGGUGAAAUGCUUAGAUAUCACGCAGAACACCGAUUGCGAGGGCAGCUUUCCAAGCUAUUACUGACGCUGAGGCACGAAAGCGUGGGGAGCGAACAGGAUUAGAUACCCUAGUAUA
rnacentral:rRNA from 1 species